GGCGCGUUCGUCUAGUGGCCUAGGACACCGCUCUCUCAAGGCGGAGAUCACGGGUUCGAAUCCCGUACGCGCUACCA
rnacentral:tRNA from 1 species